rnacentral:rRNA from 1 species
CACUGAGGCACGAAGGCCAGGGGAGCAAACGAGAUUAGAUACCCCGGUAGUCCUGGCAGUAAACGGUGCACGUAUGGUGUGAGAGGAUUCGACCCCUUUCUCGCCGGAGCUAACGCGUUAAACGUGCCCCCUGGGGAGUACGGUCGCAAGAUUAAGACUCAAAGAAAUUGACGGGGGCCCGCACAAGCGGUGGAGUAUGUGGCUUAAUUCGAUGCAACGCGAAGAACCUUACCUGGCCCUGACAUGUAUCUCUAAGCACGUGAAAGCGUGUGAGUGUCGAAUGACACAAUUUACACAGGUGAUGCAUGGCUGUCGUCAGCUCGUGUCGUGAGAUGUUGGGUUAAGUCCUGCAUCGAGCGCAACCCGUGUGAGUUGUUGCCACGUCCUUGAUUGGACAGUCACUAUGUUCAGAGUGCCCUGUGAAACGGGGAGGAAGGUGGGGAGGAAGUCAAGUCAGUAUGGCCCUUCCGGCCAGGGCUGCACACGUACUACAAUGCCCAGUACAGAAAGAUCGGAGACCGGGAGGUGGAGGAAAUCUAGUUAAACUGGGCCCAGUUGGGAUUGGAGGAUGUCAACUCGCCUCCAUGAAGCAGGAAUAGCUAGUAAUACUGUAUCAGCUACGACGGCGUGAAUACGUUCCCGGGCCUUGUACACACCGCCCGUCACAUCAUGGAAGUCACUGGUAGCCGAAGUGCACGCGCCAACCCGCAAGGGGAGCAGUGCCCUACGCUAUGAUCGGUAACUGGGAUGAAGUCGUAACAAGGUACCAAUCCCGCGG